CGUACCACGCACCUUUCGCCGAUCUCGCUGUACACAAAGUCCACGUUUCAGGGUCCGUUUCUGAACCGUAGAUCAUCUUGCUGUUGAUUAGGCUUUACGUUUACGAAGCCAUUGUUGACUACGGCUUCUCAAGGCUAAGAGACUGCUGUUCAAAUAGAAGUUGCCUGAUUCACACUCUGAACAGAUAUACGUGGAGUAGAAAGACAGACUACUGAGUGACGGAAUUUUGGCAGCGUUCUUGAACUGUGUAACUGUGUAUAUCGUCGAACUAGAGUCAGCAAAAAUUCGUCUAGCUUAUAUCCAACCCUUCAUGGAAGGCGGUGAUCAUGAGCUUACCACCAUCACUCAUGUACAGUACAUUGGCCUGAUUCUUUGUUUGCUAUACAGAGUAAUUGUCUCGGCUGCUGGUUCAAUCUAACACCACACUGUAACAAGCACUUUUCUCUGCACAAAACCUGUGUAAAACUUGAUUUUAGCACUAGGCAGUGUACGUGUUGAGCGAGAAUGUCUAGCUAUAGCUUUUCUUGCAACUCAUGCUUUGCAGAUGCAAGGUCUUGCUCAAGAACUCUAAUCUUGUUUUGAGUUCCACUAUUUCAUUUGCUUGCUAGCUGUUCAAUUAUCCGACGGAAACCGUCAGCUUCAGCCUCAUUGACAUCUUUUCGACAAUCACGUCUUGAUCAACUGGUGAUGAGGUAGAACAGCGUCUUCUUUCUGAUUUAGACAUUACAGCUAUGAAAUAAUAGUGUACCUGUGUUUUGUUACUUUAGACAUAACUGCUGCUGGGACUUGUAGACCGGCAGUGCUAAUUGUACAUAACAAAGACUUAGACUGUACAGUACGUGCACUGUACCUAUAGAGUGCCAGUUAUAACAGUAACAACUUCGA